UAGGGAAUCUUCGGCAAUGGACGGAAGUCUGACCGAGCAACGCCGCGUGAGUGAAGAAGGUUUUCGGAUCGUAAAGCUCUGUUGUAAGAGAAGAACGAGUGUGAGAGUGGAAAGUUCACACUGUGACGGUAUCUUACCAGAAAGGGACGGCUAACUACGCGCCAGCAGCCGCGGUAAUACGUAGGUCCCGAGCGUUAUCCGGAUUUAUUGGGCGUAAAGCGAGCGCAGGCGGUUAGAUAAGUCUGAAGUUAAAGGCUGUGGCUUAACCAUAGUACGCUUUGGAAACUGUUUAACUUGAGUGCAAGAGGGGAGAGUGGAAUUCCAUGUGUAGCGGUGAAAUGCGUAGAUAUAUGGAGGAACACCGGUGGCGAAAGCGGCUCUCUGGCUUGUAACUGACGCUGAGGCUCGAAAGCGUGGGGAGCAAACAGGAUUAGAUACCCUGGUAGUCCACGCCGUAAACGAUGAGUGCUAGGUGUUAGACCCUUUCCGGGGUUUAGUGCCGUAGCUAACGCAUUAAGCACUCCGCCUGGGGAGUACGACCGCAAGGUUG
rnacentral:rRNA from 1 species